UACGAAGGGAGCUAGCGUUGUUCGGAAUCACUGGGCGUAAAGCGCACGUAGGCGGAUUUGCCAGUCAGGGGUGAAAUCCCGGGGCUCAACCUCGGAACUGCCUUUGAUACAGCAAGUCUUGGGUUCGAGAGAGGUGGGUGGAAUUCCUAGUGUAGAGGUGAAAUGCGUAGAUAUCGGAAGGAACAUCAGUGGCGAAAGCGGCUUCCUGGACCAGCACCGACGUUCAGGCACGAAAGCGUGGGGAGCAAACAGG
rnacentral:rRNA from 1 species